rnacentral:rRNA from 1 species
ACACGUAAGCAACCUACCCUAAAGACGAGGAUAACCAUUGGAAACAGUGGCUAAGACUGGAUAGGAAGAUAAAAGGCAUCUUGUAUCUUUUAAAAGACCUAGUUAAUAGGUAUGCUUUAGGAGGGGCUUGCGCCAUAUUAGUUAGUUGGUAGGGUAAUGGCCUACCAAGACGAUGAUGUGUAGCUGGACUGAGAGGUUGAACAGCCACAUUGGGACUGAGACACGGCCCAAACUCCUACGGGAGGCAGCAGUAGGGAAUUUUCGGCAAUGGAGGAAACUCUGACCGAGCAACGCCGCGUGAAUGACGAAGUACUUCGGUAUGUAAAGUUCUUUUAUCGAGGAAGAAAAGCAAAUGGCGAACCAUUUGUUUGCCGGUACUUGAUGAAUAAGCCCCGGCUAAUUAUGUGCCAGCAGCCGCGGUAAGACAUAAGGGGCAAGUGUUAUCCGGAAUUAUUGGGCGUAAAGGGUGCGUAGGCGGUCUAGUAAGUCAGUGGUGUAAUGGCAACGCUUAACGUUGUCCGGCUAUUGAAACUGCUAAACUUGAGUUAGAUAGAGGCGAGUGGAAUUCCAUGUGUAGCGGUAAAAUGCGUAAAUAUAUGGAGGAACACCAGAGGCGUAGGCGGCUCGCUGGGUCUUAACUGACGCUGAGGCACGAAAGCGUGGGGAGCAAACAGGAUUAGAUACCCUGGUAGUCCACGCCGUAAACGAUGAGUACUAAGUGUCGGGUUAAACCGGUACUGAAGUUAACACAUUAAGUACUCCGCCUGAGUAGUACGUACGCAAGUAUGAAACUUAAAGGAAUUGACGGGACUCCGCACAAGCGGUGGAUCAUGUUGUUUAAUUCGAAGAUACCCGAAAAACCUUACCAGGUCUUGACAUGUUUUUGCAAAAUGAUAGUAAUAUCGUGGAGGUUACCAGAAACACAGGUGGUGCAUGGUUGUCGUCAGCUCGUGUCGUGAGAUGUUAGGUUAAGUCCUAAAACGAGCGAAACCCUUAUCGUUAGUUGCCAGCACGUUAUGGUGGGGACUUUAACGAGACUGCCAAUGAUAAAUUGGAGGAAGGUGAGGAUCACGUCAAAUCAGCAUGCCCCUUAUGACCUGGGCUACAAACGUGAUACAAUGGCUGUUACAAAGGGUAGCUGAAACGCAAGUUCUUGGCCAAUCCCCAAAAACAGUCCCAGUCCGGAUUGAAGUCUGCAACUCGACUUCAUGAAGUUGGAAUCGCUAGUAAUCGCGAAUCAGCAUGUCGCGGUGAAUACGUUCUCGGGGUUUGUACACACCGCCCGUCAAACCACGAAAGUUGGCAAUACCCCAAAACGGUAGCC